rnacentral:lncRNA from 1 species
UAGGAAUUCAGGGCCCCACUAGAAGGUAGCAGGAGUCUAAGGCCAGAGGCAAGUCCCUAGGAAGCAGGCAAUGGGGCAGGUAAUGAUCUGGUCAAUUGGUACCCCUGCCAGGGAGUAUAUAUUACAAUUUAGGGGAUGAGGGAGGAUGAAGAGCUCAUCUCCAGGCUAUGGUGGGAGCUGGCAGACACGUGAUUUUGACAUCAAGAGACAGGAAACCAGACUUGCAGCCCUAUCUUUGCCAAGCACUUUCUGAAUGUGAUCUCUGGCACAUCACUGUCCUCAGCCUUGGUUUCUACAUCUGUAGAAUGUCUUGUCUUCCUCCCAGGUGUGCUGUUGUGAAGAUUAAAUGAAAUAUCAAGCAUAUGAUCUGUAAAGGGCUGAGGAGCCAUGUAAGCCAGAGACUGCCGACUGGGAUGCAGCAGGGAAAGCUAAGUGAUGCCUAUGUGGGACGCUGACGGCAGCCUUCCACCGGGAGCUGCACUUUGAUUAAUUACAGCUCUGAAAACCAGGCACGAAUGAGUAGAACAGUCAGGUGUGGGUGGAAGGGUGAAGUUUCUGGGGUUUUCAGUCAGGCAACCCUGAGUUAGAUGUCUGGUUCCUCCUCUGCCUAGCUUUGGAUUCUUGAUCAAGUCUUGAAACUUCUUUUCAUCCAGGUUCCCUCAUCUAUAAAAGGGGAAGAAUGACUGUUUGCAGGUUUGUGGUGGGAAUUAAGUGGGAAUAUUUAUGUUAAGUGCCUGCAACCAUGCCAGCCCUCAAAUGUGAGUUUUCCCUUGUAUGAGCAUUCCUUCAUUUUGUUCUGGUUUUGUUUGUCAAUUUAAAAAAUAAAAAGAGGAAUUCCCAUGGUGAGGGGAGA